CAAUAAGCGGAGGAAAAGAAACUAACAAGGAUUCCCCUAGUAACGGCGAGUGAAGCGGGAAGAGCUCAAAUUUGUAAUCUGGCCCUUUCAGGGUCCGAGUUGUAAUCUCGAGAAGUGUUUUCCGCGCCGGACCGCAUACAAGUCUGUUGGAAUACAGCGUCAUAGUGGUGAGAGCCCCGUAAUUGAUGUGGAUGCCCGGUGCUUUGUGAUACACUUUCGAAGAGUCGAGUUGUUUGGGAAUGCAGCUCAAAUUGGGUGGUAAAUUCCAUCUAAAGCUAAAUAUUGGCGAGAGACCGAUAGCGAACAAGUACCGUGAGGGAAAGAUGAAAAGCACUUUGGAAAGAGAGUUAACAGUACGUGAAAUUGUUGGAAGGGAAACGCUUGAAGUCAGACUUGCUAUUCGGAAUUCAGCCGCAAGGUGUACUUUUCGAUUUGCAGGCCAGCAUCAGUUUUUGGGGGUGGAAAAGGGUGGAGAGAAGGUAGCAACCUUGGUUGUGUUAUAGCUCUUUACUGGAUUCAUCUUUGGGGACUGAGGAUCGCAGUGCGCAAUUUACUUUGCAAACCUUUCGAGGUUUUCGUACUUAGGAUGCUGGUGGAAUGGCUUUAAACGACCCGUCUUGAA
rnacentral:rRNA from 1 species